AUUGAACGCUGGCGGCAGGCCUAACACAUGCAAGUCGAGCGGAUGAAGGGAGCUUGCUCCUGGAUUCAGCGGCGGACGGGUGAGUAGUGCCUAGGAAUCUGCCUGGUAGUGGGGGAUAACGUCCGGAAACGGGCGCUAAUACCGCAUACGUCCUGAGGGAGAAAGUGGGGGAUCUUCGGACCUCACGCUAUCAGAUGAGCCUAGGUCGGAUUAGCUAGUUGGUGGGGUAAAGGCCUACCAAGGCGACGAUCCGUAACUGGUCUGAGAGGAUGAUCAGUCACACCGGGACCGAGGAAGCGUCCCAAACCCUAAGGGGAGCAAGCAGUGGGAAUUAUGGGACAUGGGGCAAAGGCCUAUCCCAGCCAGGCGGGGGUGGUAAGAAAGUUCUCGGGUUUUUAAACCACUUAAGUUGGGGAGAAGGGGAGUUAGUUUAAAACUUGGUGUUUUGACCUUACCCACAGAAUAAGCCACGGCCAACCUCGUU
rnacentral:rRNA from 1 species